AAAGAAGAUCAACAACAAAUUGUGUGAGCAGAAGUUUGAUAUGGAUAUACAGAAAUUCAAUGAAGAACAAGAUAAAUCAGUGAACAAUUAUCAAAAAGAACAACAAGCAUUAAAACUGUCCGAAUGUAGUCAGAAUCUGACCCUGGAAGCAAUUGAAGACAUGCAUGAGAAGUCCAUGGAGGGUUUGAUGAACAUGGAGACCAACAACUACGAUAUGCUUUUUGAUGUAGAUGGUGAAGAGACAUUAUGA
rnacentral:lncRNA from 1 species